GCCACGGUCGCAUAACCUGGUAGUGCACUGGUCUUGAGAACCAGCGUCCGAAAGGACUUCUCGGUUCAAAUCCGAGCCGUGGCG
rnacentral:tRNA from 2 species